AUAGAAAAAAUGAAUGGAAGAUGCUUCUUUGGUUCCUUGGUGGCGUAGCCUAGCAGGGUAGGGAAACAGAAGAAGAAGAAGAAGAAGCUCUUUCUCUAUACAACAGUGCUCCUUCUUUCAUCCCUUCAAAGAGGACUGCAUCUCUUAUGCGUGUCUGUGUCUCUGUCUGGAUUCUGCUGGUUGGAAAGGAAUUUCUUUCACUCUGGCCGCUAUAACAAAGUCAAACUAUUCUCGCACCUCUAGGAGGGUGUGGGGCGACGAAGAGGGAGUUAUUGGGCUUUGUGUUUUGAGAAGAUCAAAGUCAUCAGAUAUAUGGAGAUUGUGCCGUGUUUCAGUGGGCUUGUCGCUUGAUUAUGGCUAAGGGUGGCUUUUGCUGCGUUGCCAGAAGCUCUUUCUAGUUUGCUACUGAAUCUCUGCAAAUUUAGCAUCUUUGAUCAGGCUUCUGGAAAAUUGAUGCACAGUGUAGAUUGUAAUUGAUAUUUGUUUUUCUGCCUUAAGGAAAGUUUUAUGUUUAGAUGUAGCUGUCAACUUCGUUGCAGCAAUGUUUAGGUUUUCUUGUUUCCAUGGUAAUGUCCAAGUCAACAAAACAAAGAAAACAGUUCAACCUUCUACUGAAGCAAUGGUGAAGUCUUUGCAAGAUGUUACCCAAAAUCGUGGCUGUAAAGAUUCAUCUAAUCCUCCAAGCUCAAAUUCAUCCCUUUCAAAAGGACAAGGACAGAAGGAAAUAAAUGUCAUUGAGAAUCAUAUUAGCAAUUGGGAUUCAGUUGAGCGCAGUUGUAGGUCGGAGGAUAUGAAUAGCAAGUUUUCAUUUGAAUCUGACAGAAAAGUUCACCAAACUGGGGGUCUUAAGAAGAGCCAGUCUCUUCAAAGUGGGCUUGACCAAGUCAUAAGGGAAAGUGACGAAGAUCUGGGGUUGUCUUGUGAUGGUGCCAAAAGCCAGAAUGAGUCAACAACUUCAAUUUGCAGAAAGUCUCGUGAUGCAAACACCAUUGAUCAGUAUGGAAAUAAUCCAAACUUCGAGUUUCAAGCCAGUUCAGGUCUUGCAAAUGAUAGCUCAAUUUUUUCAAUAGGAGAUCCAAUACCUUCGGAGAAAGAUAUCCGUGAAAUUUCUGAUACUCCAUUAUCUGGUGAGUUUGCUGGCAACAUUGCUGACCAGACUCCUGUUCCUGGUACCCUAUCUCUAAGGAAGUCACGCUCUUUACCCAAUAUCAAAGCUUCUAUACUUUCUUCUGAAAAAGAUGCUUUUAAAUGUGCAUUUCUGUUGUCAAGAUCUUCGGAUGAUCUUCAUACUUUAUGCAUGAGGCAGAAAGAGGUAUACACCAAUGAGUUUGAUGAUCAAAUAAGGAGAGAUCAAGAAAAAGAGAUUGACAUAGGAAAAACUGAAGAUGGUCAAAUGGAAAGUUUGUUUGAUGACGGUUUUGAUUCUUAUCUGCUUUCUGCUUCAGCAAAAGACUGGGUAAUGCCAAUUACAGAUGAUACAAGUGAUGUCAAAACCCUUCAAGGAGAUUCCCCAGCUGACGGUGUGGGUGAGUUUGCUAACAAGGAUUUCAAGAUUAAGCGCAUUGAGGAUUGGGUAAUAGGUCUGCAGCACUGUGUACCACCUGUGGAGGAAACAAAUGAAUCGCCUGAAGCUAUUGAACCUUCAGCUGAUGUUAACACAGUAAAUGGUGUGACUGCUGCUAGUGUGGAUCAUAAGGUCACUCCAGGAAUGGAUGCAGCUAAAAGAUAUAUAUCUUCUCUCAGUGCUAAUGCCACUGGAGCUCAGCUGGCAAAUCAUGGGUUGGUUGUGAUCCCCUUUUUGAGUGCAUUUGUGAGUUUGAAAGUGCUCAAUUUAGCUGGAAAUGCUAUAGUGAGGAUAACUGCUGGUGCUCUUCCUCGUGGACUUCACGCAUUAAAUUUGUCUAGAAACAAGAUACCUACUAUAGAAGGAUUACGCGAACUUACAAGGCUUCGUGUUCUAGACCUCAGUUACAACCGAAUAUUAAGAAUUGGACAUGGCCUUGCAUCCUGCUCAUCUCUAAAGGAGCUGUACCUGGCUGGAAACAAGAUCGGUGAAGUAGAGGGUCUGCACCGCCUCUUGAAACUAAGUAUCCUGGAUCUCCGCUUUAACAAAAUUUCAACAGCCAAAUGUCUAGGCCAACUUGCAGCCAACUACAAUUCUUUGCAAGCCAUCAACUUGGAUGGAAACCCAGCCCAGAAAAAUGUUGGAGAUGAACAUAUGAAGAAAUAUCUGCAAGGCCUUCUUCCCCAUCUUGUCUACUACAACCGGCAGCCUAUCAAAGUAAGCACUUUGAAGGAUGGCACAGAACGUUCAGUUCGAUUAGGAAUGAAUUCCCAUCAGUUUGAUCGCGGCCUUAGAGCAGAUCGCAAGACCACCAGGAAGAGCAGCCAAGGUGUUGCAGCCACACGGAGGGCGUUGACCACUUCAACUCAUGUUCGCAGAAGUGUGGACUCACCAAAACUGUCCAAAGGCAAGCAAGCUCUCCUGCCACCAACUGGAACCAAAGUACCAACCCAAAGUCGCCAUCAUUUUGAAGCUCCCAGCAAAGUGUCAAAUAUGAUGUCAUCCAUGCGCAAGAGUCGCAGUGAGGGAAAUUUUGGAGUUAUGUGAGAGGCUGUUCCAUCGUAAAUUGGUUCGUACAUCACCUUUGUUUCAGUAUGCAUCUAUUUACUUUGUUAUUUCUUAAUGUUUUCUGUUAGCAGAGUUUUUUCCCUCUCUUUUCAUUAAGCUGUUUUCGGCCACAGUAUUUCUUUUUCAUUAUAGGUUGUGUUAUGUACGUUCAAAACAUCGUUUUCAAUUUGUCUGGAGAUAAAGUUUGCUGCAAUUACAAAUUUACAAUAAAUUUUCACAAUUCUAUUAUGUGGGGAUUUCAUUGACCCCAGGUGAGUUGGGGUUGAAGUUAAGCAACUCUAUCAUAACUACUAAGUGGACCAGUGUAAUUAAGACAAGUUGCUUGGACCCACUUAUUUGCUCCACCUUGAUAACUCGUCCAUGGGAUCAGGCAUUAAAGUUUAGUGCAGAUCACAAUUAUGAACUAUUAUGUUUUGUUGGACAUAACUAUAAUGGACAAUUAUGAAUUUCGUGUUA